rnacentral:rRNA from 1 species
AUUGAACGCUGGCGGCAGGCCUAACACAUGCAAGUCGAGCGAGCGGCGGACGGGUGAGAUAUGUCGGGGACACCGCCUGAUGGAGGGGGAUAACUACUGGAAACGGGAGCUAAUACCGCAUACCAUCGGAUGUGCCCAGAUGGGAAUGGCUAGUAGUUGGGGUAAAGGCUCACCUAGGCGACGAUCCCUAGCUGUUCUGAGAGGAUGACCAGCCACACUGGAACUGAGACACGGUCCAGACUCCUACGGGAGGCAGCAGUGGGGAAUAUUGCACAAUGGGCGCAAGCCUGAUGCAGCCAUGCCGCGUGUAUGAAGAAGGCCUUAGGGUUGUAAAGUACUUUCAGCGGGGAGGCGUUACCCGCAGAAGAAGCACCGGCUAACUCCGUGCCAGCCGCCGCGGUAAUUC